UACAGAGGUCUCAAGCGUUGUUCGGAUUCAUUGGGCGUAAAGGGUGCGUAGGCGGCGCGGUAAGUCGGGUGUGAAAUCUCGGAGCUUAACUCCGAACUGCAUUCGAUACUGCCGUGCUAGAGGACUGGAGAGGAGACUGGAAUUUACGGUGUAGCGGUGAAAUGCGUAGAUAUCGUAAGGAAGACCAGUGGCGAAGGCGGGUCUCUGGACAGUUCCUGACGCUGAGGCACGAAGGCCAGGGGAGCAAACGGG
rnacentral:rRNA from 1 species